rnacentral:lncRNA from 1 species
UUGUCAAAAUGUUACCAUUAUUGCUGGGAUUCCAAGAAAUCUCUACAAAUGCCUCUGAUGACGUCGGAAACAAUUGGUUCUAAUCCUGUGAACUCUCUUGUGAAGAAAGCGUGUGACUCCUUUGGUUUAGAGGCCAUAUCUUUCAGGUCAUCCAAAGGUGCCCAAGCCACUCCAACAGAAAAGAUGGUAAUACCUACAAUGAAAAUAUUUUUGCAUGCAUUAGAACCAAGCUGCAGCUUAUACAGAAAACCAGAUGUAAUUAUUUUUCAUGACUCAGUUUACAGUUGGAGAGGAAGCUCUAUAAUGUCUGAAGGAUUAAAUCUCCUUCACCAAAUGGUUAGCUAGGUUUAAACAGUCAUGAGAAUGGCUAAACAGUUGGGCCCAAACCAAAAGUUUGCCAUCAGUAUAACUUACCACACUGGCAAAUAAAUCACAUGAUCACUGACAAAAAGUUAUGUGAUGACCUGAUAGAUAACUUCUUAAAAAAAUAAAUAACUAUAACAUACUUAGUGAAAUGGUGAAAACUGCCUGAGAUUGGCAGGAGAAUGGUCUGCCUGCUAUCAUCACUCCAGUUAAUCAUUAGACUGGAGGCCUAGCCAGUAUAACAGAGUCUGGGAUACAUAAAUGGAAGUUUUCUAAGGCUCUUGCAUUGGAAAUGGUGACUAGUCUUCUGAAUAAUGAGAACUUUGCAAUUUUGAUGUGUAUGUUACAUUGGCAAAAUGACCAGUAGUCAGAAAUUGUCAGUGUUAGGCGCUUGGGUGGCUCAGUUGGUUAAGUUUCCAGCUCUUGGUUUCAGCUCAGGUCAUGAUCUCACAGUUGUGGGAUUGCCACCCCNNNNNNNNNNNNNNNNNNNNNNNNNNNNNNNNNNNNNNNNNNNNNNNNNNNNNNNNNNNNNNNNNNNNNNNNNNNNNNNNNNNNNNNNNNNNNNNNNNNNNNNNNNNNNNNNNNNNNNNNNNNNNNNNNNNNNNNNNNNNNNNNNNNNNNNNNNNNNNNNNNNNNNNNNNNCCCCACCUCCUGCUCAGGUGUGCACUCCUGUGCCCACAUGCUCUCUAAAACUAUACUUAAAACGCAAAAAAAGAAAUGGUCAGUGUCUAACCCCAAAGCAAAAAUCUGGUGAAAAAAACAGCCAAAGAGAAAAGGGUCUGUGCAGCUGGAAUAAUUUCUUCUAGUUACACAUUGAGGCAUAACCUCUACAUGCCCUUGCACCAGUAGGCGGCUUGUAUUCCAACUACAUUUUGGUUAAGGUGAUAACUACACCAGUUUGAUUUACCUCAAUCCAACUGCAGUAGUUGUUUAGCACAUUCUUAGUGUAUCCUACCAUCUUUCUUUUGAGUGAAAUUUCCUAUGUUUGGAGAGCUUCUGAAGUCACUUCUAGGACUUCAUCCCCAUUCUAAUGGUAUUCAGUGCUCAAAAUUGUAAAUACUUGAGAUGUAAAUAAAGCAGGUUUAGAUUAUGUAAAAGCUCCUUGAAACAAUUUCUGAUUUAUUACCCCACUCAAUACUCCCAUCUCCUCCCCUGGCAAAAGAAAACAAAAAGAUUCCCCCCUCAGUUUUCCUCACUUGUAGACUGCCUAAAGCUCAGAUUGUAAUUAUAUAUUGGGUCAGAGCUAAACAAUUAAAAAAGUUACGACCUAGCCUUGAAAACCUACCUGUAUUCCGGCUUUUGUUAACUUGCACUUCACAAUCUCUAAAGGAUAAUUUUCAUGAAAAUGGUGUGGCAUAACCUCCUGAAGCUCAGCUAAUUACAUUGGGGAAAUAUAUUUGAUUUAAUCUAGUUCAGUUAAUUUAGCCUGAACCCCGUUAACCACAAAUUAGUUCAGUAAGAUACGUUUUUAAGAAGGAUGAUAGCAAACAGGUCUUCGAUUUAGGUUAGCUACUGAUGGAUAAAACAAGCUAGAUGUAUAUAAAUAAGCCAACAUAUAGCUUAAGUUGCGCGGAUGGGUUCUCUACCCUACUAAACAGCAUUUCAUCAAUAUAAAAGUAUAUAACAGUGGCUAAUGUGUAAGAGGGAAAAAGUUAAGUCAUGAGGAAUUAAAUAGGGAAAAGUGUGGAAAAGUAUACAAAAAUGCAAGGCCGCUAAUUCCCCUCUCCCAAGUUAGCGUUUUGUUUUUUGUUUUUUUUUAUUAAGUAUUAUUGGACCACAAUCACUCAGUUUUAUCCCAGGAAAGGGAACGUCAGCUUUUUGUUGCCCUAUUUGAUCUCAGCAACACAUUAUGCUAAUGUUUUCAGGAAUGAGUCGCCUUUGCCAAAAGUAAUAUUAAGGUUGGGGUAAGGGAGAAAGAAGACCUUUUUAUACUGUUUUAUAACAUCAGAGUGUGUUUUUAUUAUCUUGAAAAGACUAAGAAUCUAAAAAGGAAGUUUAGAUGGAAUAGAAUUAAAGUCUACUGGGGACUCUAACAUCUUAGAAAACUCAUGCCAGACUCAAAACUACUUUUUAAAAAAGGAUAAAUUAUCAAAUAGGUUCAUGGUAAAUUAUGAUAAAUUGUGAUUGGGUCGGGGGAUAUAUUCCAAGUUUGGGCCCAACAUAAGCACCUGUAACAUGCUUCUUUGACACAUGACAUGGUUCUCAUGGCACUUCUCCCAACAAUACAGUGGUGAGGAGUGUGGACUCAGCCAGAAUGCCUGGGUUUGAAUACUGGCCUCACCACUUGCUAGCUGUGGUCUUGAGGAAAUUUGUUGCCUUAUCUGUAGAAUGACAUUCAUAGGACUGGUUUGACACUUAAGUCAGUUAAUAUUGAGUAAAGCUCUUAGAACAAUGAUUGCCAUUACAUACGUGUUUGUUCAAUAAAAUAAAUGCUUACAUUUAUAUUUACAAAACUCACUGAACCCCUCCUCAGUUACCUACUGACAAAGGACAAGAACUUACCUGCAUCGUGUGCAGCAGCAGCAGGGCCUCGAACAUCGUCAUAGGACUGCCCGUCUGUGACAAUUACCAGGAAGUUCUUGUUGGGGCUAUCCCUCACAGGACCAAACACGUUUCUAACAGUGAAGGAAAUGGCAUCACCUGUAGCUGUUCCACCGCUCAUGUAGCGAAUGUUUCUGAUAACAGCUAGGACAUUCUCUUUGGUGCUGUAAUCAGUGAAAGUGAAUUCUGUGCGCUGAUCAUAGGUGAACUGCACAGCAGCAAUCUUGGCACCAAUGUCUGAGAUUUCAAAAGUCUUGGCUAUGUUGGAAACAAACUCAAGCAUGAGGCGAAAAUUACUGUCUCCAACACUGCUGGAACCAUCAAUUAGAAAGGCAAUGUUCACUGAGUUAUAGCAGGUCUUGCUGCACAUCAUUUGCUCAUGAGUGCAGAGCUUCUGUACCAGAGGCUUUACAUAUUUCGUGGUGCCAAACCAGUUGGGCAUGUGGUAAGAGAAGAAGCCAUUGUUCCGACAGACAGCCUAAUGGGGGAGACAUAAAUGGGAUCAAAAAGUGUGUCUUCUUAAAAAUGAUAAAAACAUUAAAUCUUGAAUGUUCAGAGUUAAUCCAGAUAAGGGCCAGUCAGCACUAUGCCUGAAGGUCCAAAAACUGAGUAACUACCCUAACAGAAAAGACCCCUCACCUCCUUACCUUGUCAACAAAUGCAACAUCCUGAACCAUCCCCAGUUCUUCAGGGAUAGGCUUGGCCACAGAAACUAUAAAUACAUUCACACCAAACUCUCUGGCCACAAUGCCUGCUUCCUCAAUGUCAUCAGAAGGCCAGCCAUCAAUAAAUACCACCACCACUUUGGGGAUCCCUCUUCUUACUCCAGCGUCUGCUGUGAAGAAUUUCUGGGCCGUAUGCUUCAAGGCUUUUCCUAGAUUUGAAGAAGAAGCAAGCUGGAGCAGCACCACUGCUCAAAUGACAUUUCUAUUUCCCUGUACCAACUUGAUGACACCAAAAGUUUAAGAAUUUAACUUACAUAGAACUUGGUUCUAUAAUAGAUGCAUCAGAUGCAAAAGUUUAAUUAUCCAUCAGAUCUAUUUUUUUUUUGUCUUCACAACCCACAUUACUUCCCCCAUCACCUCCCAGAAGCCUCAUUUUUCCUUACCUUACAUCAAUCAUCAGAAACACAACUGACUCCCACCACUGUACUUUUGCUAUCUAGCCCCUUAGUGACUGAUUACCUCUAAAGACUCAGAACAAGAAAUGUCCCUUCAGAGGGUCUAUAGUGCUAAGCUAGUUCUUUCUGCCACAUCUGCAUUUGUUAAACAAGUCUGUUGAUCUUUGCUUCUUUUUAACUUGCUGAACACGUACUUCUCUAAAGUGGCAUCUGUUCUAUCCAAUAUAAGGAUUAUAAAUCAUGAUACUUUUUUGGCUUGUUUUAAACAAGCAAUAUUAGUUAACCCUUUGGCAUGUUUUUCAUUAUAAAUUGAGUAUCUUAGAUGAUCAAGUACAAACCUAGCCAAGAUUUCAGUGUCAAGAGGAAGAGUUUCACAUCUGCUUAAAUAAAAUAGCCUAAUACUGCUUUACAUGUCUGACUGCUUCAUAACCCUCUCCUGUGUUACAUUCCAGGUGCCAAAGUCUACUUACCUGUAUUGGAAUUACCCCCUCUGAAACCUACUUCCUUUAUGGCAAACAAAACAUCUUUGGCUGAUGUAAAGUUUUUCAAAUAAAAUUCUAUUUUGGGAUGUUCACUAAGUGGAAAAAUAGGAAAAAAAUGUUAUCUAGAGAGAACUGGAAAGGCAAAACAAGCAACAUUAUAUAACUUAAAAAAAAAGUAAAUUGGCCAAUGCCUAAGUUUCUUAAUCCCAUAGUGUACAGUCAACUAAAGUAUUGCAUCCUUACUUAAAUUUCAAGGCAUCUUGCAGAAAUUAACAAAAACAAUUGCUACCUUGAGGGUUUAUCUGGGUAAUAUGCUAAAUACGUAUUACAUGUAUCAUCUCAUUUCAUCCUAACUCUACACAGUGUAAACUACUAUCCCUACUAUGUAAGCGAAGAAACUGAGGCUCACAGCAUUUUGGUAGGUUGCCCAACAAAACACUGCUGCACUUUAAAUUCAGGUUUGUCUGGCUCCAGAACACCUGAAACCAGGGUUAGCUGAAGGCACUGGGCUUAAUGGAAAUCUGCAGAGUAGGGCACCAGAGUAUUGGAAGGUGACUGGGUGUGAGGCUAGGUCUGUUCCAGUGGGAGACCAUGGAAGCACUCAACAGUGUGGGUCUAUUAACUCAGGCUUCUGGUUAGAAGAGGCAAUUUUAAGGACACCGAGGCCAACGUUUUAAAAAUGAGAAGAUAACAAGAAAAUGUAUCAAGUAUUACAAUUUUGGAUUUGUGUUAUAAAAAAUGAUAUUGACAUACGCUGAUCUCCAAAUUAUGUACAUUGUAAUAUUUGGGACUUUCCAUAUUUAAUAGUAAAAGGAUUUCAACUCACUUUUAUCACUACUCUAUGUUUAUUAGAAACCAUGAUGAGUAAAACAGUUACACAACCAUUUGUUGUGUUGGUUUUUAGAUAAGUCAGUAUUUCAUAAGUGCAAAAUUUUAAGAUCUUAGUAUUAUCAAUUGCCAUUAAGUCAAGAUUUUUGAGGUAAAAGUAUAGCACUGACUGUACUUCUGCAUAUCUUUCUGUAUAUCUGGUGAAAUGUUGGGCCACAAAAUCAGAUAUUAUGGGUAGAUAACCUUUUCACAUUAAUGGUCACUUUGAACUAUCCCAAUUGUGAUUUAGGAGAUUUAUUCUUAAUUUUGCAUCCUUAAUGUUACAUUGUUAUUCUGCUUAAAUAUAAACUCUUUAUAUAGUUUAUUCUGAGGCUCUUCCUAAAACAGGAAAACUAUAGGGGUGCCUGGGUGGCUCAGUCGGUUAAGCGUCCAACUUCAGCUCAGGUCAUGAUCUCACAAUCCGUGAGUUUGAACCCCGUGUCGGUCUCUGUGCUGUCAGUUCAGAGCCUGGAGCUUGAUUUGGAUUCUGUGUCUCCCUCUCUCUCUGCCCCUCCUCCACUCACACUCUGUCUCUAUCAAAAAAUGAAUAAACGUUAAAAAAAUUUUUUUAAUCGGUAAACUAGAAGUCUCAAAGUUUAUAGAGAAGCUAGUCUUGUUUGAUUCUACGAGAUAGUGUAGCUGUCAUCUUGAAAAAGAAUUGGAUACAAAUAGCAAAGAAAAAAAUGUAAGAAGAAAAGUACUGAGUGGAAUUUGCCCCCCCCCACCCAGGAUGUUAAAAUGUACAAUAAAGCUACAAUUAUCAGAGCAUUGUAGAAAAGAUGUAAGAAUUGGCUUAUAGAUCAAGGAAACUGACUUGGUUAACUUGCAUAUAAAAUUGGCCUUACAAAUCAAUGAAAUAAAGUCAUCUGUUUUAAAGAUAUGGGACAAAUAAAUUAUGUAGAAAACCAAAAAAUUCUCAUACCAAAUUCUCAUACCAAAAAAAUUCUAUUUAAAUUAAGAACCAGUUGUAAAACAUAAGAAUAAAUGAAAUAGAAAUUAGUAGGUGUAGUACUGGUGACAGCAAUUUAAACUGGGUCAACUUUCUAGAAAGCAAUUAAACUUUGUAUCCGAAACCUUAAAAAUGUCAGAACCUUUUGACCCAAUCUCACUUUUAGAAAUCUAGUCUAAUGAACUAAUCAAAGAUGGCACAAGGGUGACAUAAGGAUGUUAAUCACAAUGUAAUGUCCGAUGGUGAAAAAAAUGGAAGAACAGUUAAAAAGUCAUGCAAAGGAACAUUCUAAAACAUCAUCGAUUUAGAGCAUUUGUGGUGUAAAAUGCUCAAAAUACAAAGGGAUGAAAAAACAGGACAUAAAACAUUUUUAUAGUUUGAACUUUUGAAAAACACAUUAUGCAGAAAGGGGUGAAGGAUGGAAAAAGUGGUGGAAGGGGAAUGCGAGAUACAGGCUUCCAGUUAUGAAAUGAGUAAGCCAAGAGAAUAAAAGGUACAGCAUAAGGAAUAUCGUCAAUGGCACCGUAACAGCAUCUUAUGGUGACAGAUGGGAGCUACACUUGCAGGGAACAUGGCAUAAUCCACAAUGUUGAAUCACUAUGUCGUACACCUGAAACUAAUGUAACAUUGUGUGUCAACCAUACUUCAAUUACACACACACACACACACACACACACAGACAUGCACAUGUACAAGCAUUUUCUUAAAAUACUGAAAGGGUAUCAAACAUUUUAUAGUGAUUAUCUCGGGAGAGCAUAUUUGGGAAAUUUGUUUUUCUUGUGCUUUAUAUGUUUUUCAAGGUAUCUAUAGUGAGCAUAUUAUUUUCCUAAAAGCCAUCAAUAUUAUUUUUAAAUGAAUAAAAUUAAAAAGAUCGAGCUUCAGAUCUGCACUCAUGGAACUAUGGGAAAUGUUUAAAAGAAUAAUGACAGAAUAGGGAAAAGAAACAGACCUAUAAUUUCUUCCUUCAGCAAAGAAGAAUCAGGAAUUGAGCAGAGUAUAUGUACAGAGGUAAUUUGUACAGAGGUAAUUUUGUUGUAUGAACAACAAAACCUUUUUAGUCUACCUUCUGGUCAUCAAAUUCUCUAAAUCUUUUUAUUCCAAAAAGGAAGCACUUAGACCUACCCCGUCUGCUUAGGCAGUCUUACAUCCUAUAUUUACAGUUCAGGGAUUCAGACUAUCCACAACUCUAUGUGUUUAUACUGUACUGAAAUACAUGUAUCCACUAAAACGGCUGAUCUUUUAUCAUCAAGUCUCUUUCCAUUUUAACAAGUUGGUACCUGGCUUGAACAAGGCCCACGUGUGGUCCUUCUGUUCCAAUUCCCAACAUUAGAGCCACCUUGCCAACAAAAUUCUUCUGUAGAUUAAAUCGGCGCUGCCCAAUAUUAAAACUUCCAUCAAUCAGAAAUGCAAUGUCUGCUUUACAGUCUGUGAAAACCCAAACAUGUCUCUCCGUUAGCAGUUUCAAAGGGAGGGAAAAUGUUAUUUUCCCAAAUGGAUAUGUGGACUCUUACCUUUAUUGCCAGUUUUCUUUUCAGGUGUUUUCUUUAGUCGUUUACCUGAAACAAAGGAAGCAGUGGCAUCAAUAGGAAGACAGUUUCAUAGCAAGAAGCAAGGUAUCUAUAGUGAGCAUAUUAUUUUCCUAAAAGCCAUCAAUAUUAUUUUUAAAUGAAUAAAAUUUCAUAGCAAGAAGCAAGAAGCUUGUGACAAGGAGUGCCAUUCUUAAAAACACUUGUUUUGUAAAAAAAAUAAUUUGUUCACAGCUUUUUGGACUGGGGAAGAAAUGCCCCAACAAAGAAGUCAGGACUGUUGUAAGCCUUGCCACCAAUUCAGGACUUGAUAUCUCAAACCCACAAUUGAGGCAGGACCAGAAAUGCCAAGAGUUAGAUUCUAAUGUUCUUAAUUUCUUUGACUUUAAAACUGCCACAAUCUUAGGAAAGGAGAUUCCUGGCCUUUGUUAAAAUGGACACACAUUGAAUUCCUUUUAUUCAUAUGACGAAUGGAGCUAGGAAGUCACUUUGUCCAGUUUCUAGGCAUGGUUUAUUAGAUCAGAAAGAAAUAGUAGGACUUCAAGAGAAUGUUUGGUAGCAGAGUUUAUAAUUGAAAAUAGAAGGAUAGGAAUUUGAAAUAUAAAAUGUUUCCUUAUAUAAUGCACUAGUAAACUUAAGAUAUUUGUUUUGUGUUUCUUAAUUUUUUUUAAUUUUUGAGAUAGGGCACGAGCAGGAGAGAGGGGCAGAGGGAGAGACAGAAUCUUAAGCAAGGUCAAUGCUUGGUACAGAGCUCGACGCAAGGCUCGAUCCUAUAACCCCAGGAUCAUGACCUGACCUGAAAUCAAGAGUCGGAUGCUCAACUAACAGAGCUACCUAGGUGCCCUGGUUUUGUGUUUAACAUCACUUUUUAUUUUUUAUUUGUUUAUUUUUAACUUACUUAUUUUUGAGAGAGAGAGAGCAAGCAGGGGAGGAGCAGAGAGAAAGGGACAGAGAGGACUUCCAAGAAGGCUCCACACUGUCAGUGCAGAGCCCAAUGCAGGGCUCGAACCCACAAACUGUGAGAUCAUGACUUGAGCUGAAACCAAGAGCUGGAUGCUUAACUAAGCCACGCAGGUGCCCCAACGUCAAUUACUUUUUAAAGGAAAGCUAUCAACAACACAUUUAUUUUUAACUUCUAAAUGUUGUGCCAGGCUACUAGGAGAUAGCUUCCAUACCUGUUGAUGGACGUGCUGUGGACACUGCUUGUCCUGUGGCCUCCUGGGUACCACUUUUACCUUCUGUUAAAAUAAAGAGAAGACUAUUUUUUUCCUCUUCCUUCUUUACCAUCAAAAUAUCAUGAAUCUAACUUAGGUGUCUAUGGGAUGAUAAAUGUAAUCAAGUAAUGGCAACUGCAUGAGUAAUUGCUUCAUGCGAGUUUCAAAGACCAAAAUGAAUUCUUAUCUAUUAAAUUGUAUUUUAAAAGGAUCACCAAAAAUGAAUUCACAUUCAUUUUCAUUCAUUAGUUUUUUGAUUUAGUGUAAGUGUCAGGGCAUUCUGAUCACAAGUUUCUACUGCAACCUUCUAACAGCAAGAUUAUCCUUCCUCCAUUCAGCCAAGUUUGGCCUGAGUGGGCUUUGCUUGUCCAGGUCGCUGAUUCUAACCCAUAGUUGACUCUUUCAAGUCUUAAUCACAGGCUUUUCUAUCAAAGUCAAAGAUGUUGGGCUAAGAACAGCAGAAAACUUUUUUGAGAGUCAGGCAAUAUUUACACAAAGGUAAAAUCAAUGUAAUUGUACCUACUUGUCACUGUGAAAGAAGCAGACCAUCUGGAAAGUGUUUGAGACUGAAUGCCAUUGGCAACUACUGAGGAAUAGUUUUCUCGACCUGGUAGGCUAUAUAUUCGUACAGGUCCCCCUGAGUUGCUGAUUACUCCCCUGCAACACAGAAAAACAGCCGAUAUUCUACCCACACUUUUCCAGGGGUAUCCGACUGACUUAUAGUGCCAUGUUACAUCUAUUGUUCUGAUAAUCAAGAAAAUAGUUUAUCAGGGAAGACAUCUAAGGAUGCUGUUGGCCUUUUUAAAAACAUGCUAACAUAGGUACAACAUCUGCCUGGGAAAAAAUGGUUUUAUGCUGUCAAACUUCUUAAAUGUUGAUAGGAACAUACCUAUAAGAUCCCAUUCCCUGCAGCUCGGAGAUUCAGGGUUAAGAGCACCAAAUAAUUUUCUUAGUUUUCUAAGGUACUUUAACUACAUGUCUUUGGACAACACACACACACACACACAAAGUCUUGUAGGAUAGCAGAAUGUGUGAUGAAUACGGGAUCUGGAAGCAGACCUGGCCUUUCAUUUCCAGCUCUGGCAUUUGCCUGACAAUGAUGACUGUGGGCAAGAUCCUUGGCAACUGAGUUGUUUCUUCAUCUAUAAAAUGGAAUAAAAUUGUACCCACCCUAUACAAUUCUCAAGUUCUCAUGGAAGUUAAAACUAUGUCUGGCACACAGUAAAAACUCACUAAUAUAUUACAUGAUUAGGAAUGUUCUAAAAUCACAGGAAUCUAGCUGCCAAGAAAUAAUACAAUUUGUCUUUAGUCAGAAAUCUUACUUUGUGUAGCUGGUGCUUCAUGGAUAUCCAGGAAAACCUUAAAAAUGUAUCUAUCAGGGCACCUGGGUGGCUCAGUUGGUUAAGCGGCCGACUUCGGCUCAGGUCAUGAUCUCAUGGUCCAUGAGUUCGAGCCCCGCGUCGGGCUCUGUGCUGACAGCUCAGAGCCUGGAGCCUGUUUCAGAUUCUGUGUCUCCCUCUCUCUGACCCUCCCCCGUUCAUGCUCUGUCUCUGUCUCAAAAAUAAAUAAACGUUAAAAAAAAAAAGUUAAAAAAAUGUAUCUAUCUUCUAUGGCCAAAAUUGGCACCAAAAGAAAGAAGAUAGUGGGUCUGUCCAUGUGGCUAAAGAGGGAAAGGAAAUCAUCACACUUGGAUUUCUCUCCCCUUGGCAUGUUUCAGCUUACCUGUGGAUAGCUGCACCACAUAUGCUUGAUACAGAUGCAUACACUAUGUUCCCAAAUACGGAGAAUUCCUCAAGAGAGCAGCCCCCUGGGCAGAGGACAUCUGCUUUCUCUUUCCUGAUGUCCAGGCCUCGGGUAAAGCAUGUGAUAGCAAUGGGAACUGAAGAGAAAGGAGGGAAUGUAGUGACCAUUCUUGGGACUUUGAGGGGGAUGGGGAGGUGGAAACUAGGGUCUGAGGUUGAAGGUUUACCUCCCUAAGUUCUACACUUCUUAAGAAUAUUAACAUAUGUACCACACCAUUCCAGAUUUUAGCUAGCCAAAACCCAGAUUUCCAAUAUAAUCUAGUCCUCAACCACUCCAAAGCCUAAUAGGAGAAUUUUCUCAGUUCUUAUGAGCUUGGGAAUAUAUAACUGGGAAUAUAUCAGAACUGGAAAAUGACAUUAGUCAGUCACCAUUUAUUAGUUCAUUCUAGAAACGUAAAAAUCUCACAGCGAUAACUGUGGACACAGUUGCCUGAGCUAACGAUAUUAUAUCUGGGCCAAGCCUAUGAGGAAUAUCUUCAUAGACACAUGCACAAACCUCUUCAAGUCUCAUCCUUUGCUUUGGAAGAGCAUUUACACUAGUUUUCCUCCAACUGCAGUGUCUUAAAAUUAUCUCUUAAGUAGGCCAGUAAAAAGAUGUUUCACUUUACAAAAUGUCAUUUAGCUCAAUCGUUCAUUUUACAGAUGCAGAAAUUAAAGCCAUGGGGUUAAUUUGCUCUAGGUCACACAGCUCAACUUCUGCAGAAUCAGGGAAGGGAAUCAGAAUCAGGGAAUCAGGGAAGUUAGUCCCUUUGGAAUGAAGCAUUUUUAUCUGAACUGAACCUGCUUAUUUCUGGUCAAAAUCUGCCCAGAGAGAUCUAUCAGACAGUGAAUGCAUUUUUAGAAAACAGUGUCAAUACUCUCAAGUUUUACACAGCCAACCCAACUAAUAAGGAACUGAAGUUUGUACUACAAAAGAUGUUAGGUAGACACAAGCUAUUGGCAACAUGUAACAAGAUAAUAUAAUACCACAUGUUAACUCAUCAAUUUACUAUAAAUUUUAAGUUGAGAAUAAUGUUAUUAAAUACUCCUUUCCAAACACAAGAA